UACGUAGGGAGCGAGCGUUGUCCGGAAUUACUGGGUGUAAAGGGAGUGUAGGCGGGACUGUAAGUCAGAUGUGAAAAUUAGGGGCUCAACCCCUAACCUGCAUUUGAAACUGUAGAGCUUGAGUGAAGUAGAGGCAGGCGGAAUUCCCCGUGUAGCGGUGAAAUGCGUAGAUAUUAGGAGGAACAUCAGUGGCGAAGGCGGCUUACUGGGCUUUAACUGACGCUGAGGCUCGAAAGCGUGGGGAGCAA
rnacentral:rRNA from 1 species